CAAACCCUAGAGCGGACCUUUACAAAGAAGGGUGUUUGUGAGUGUGCAGAGAAGAAAGAAAUCUGCAGAGAGAGAAAAAUGGCGGAGCAUUUGGCGUCGAUAUUCGGAACCGAGAAGGACAGGGUGAACUGCCCCUUCUACUUCAAGAUCGGCGCGUGCAGGCACGGAGACCGUUGCUCGCGUCUGCAUACCAAGCCCAGCACUAGCCCCACUCUCCUCCUCUCCAACAUGUAUCAACGCCCCGAUAUGAUCACUCCCGGCGUCGACCCUCAGGGCCAGCCCAUCGAUCCCAAGAAGAUCCAAUCCCAUUUCGAGGAUUUCUACGAAGAUUUGUUUCAGGAGCUGAGCAAAUAUGGUGAUAUCCAGAGCCUGAACAUAUGUGAUAAUUUGGCUGACCACAUGGUUGGUAAUGUCUACGUCCAGUUUAGGGAGGAAGACCAAGCUCAGAAUGCCCUCCAGAAUCUUGUCGGCCGGUCUUACGAAGGGCGACCAAUCAUUGCUGAUUUCUCUCCUGUGACGGAUUUCCGUGAAGCAACUUGUAGGCAAUACGAAGAAAAUGUAUGCAAUCGAGGUGGAUACUGCAAUUUCAUGCAUCUGAAAAAGAUUAGCAGGGAAUUGAGACAGCAAUUGUUUCGGAAGAGUAGAAGAAGACAUGACCGCAGUAGAAGCAGAAGCCGUAGUCCUCGCCAUCGUGGCUAUGAGGAGCGUCAUGGCUCUGGGAGAAGGGGUGGUGAUAGCCGUCACCAUGAUAGAGGCAGAAGACCUCGAAGCAGAAGCCCAGGUCGAAGGAGUGGCCGAAGCAGAAGUCCUGGGGGAAGGAGAAACAGGAGCCCAGUUAGAGAAAGCAGUGCGGAGAGAAGGGCCAAAAUUGAACAGUGGAAUAAGGAAAGGGAGAAUCCUGAACCUGCUAAAGAUCGUAAUAAUGAAGAAGCCGAGGAUGGUAACCAUGGCUUGGAACAUAACGAUGGGCGAUCGCGUUCCUAUAACGACAAUCAGCAACCAUCAGAGCAAGGAAAUGGAGAUUAUGACUUCUAAAUUCUAUGCAGUUAAUCUUGGUGCGGAUAAUUCACCAUUUUCUCCCUUUCCUCAUUCCAAAGAAAUAGUAUCUAUGUUUAGGACGAAUAGCAAAUGAAACAGGCCAUAUGGUUAAACAUAUUUUGAACUGCCGAAAAAUCCUAAAAUAAAUUUUCAAUUAUGGGAAUAGGCAUACAUUCAUGUUCGGUGAAGUCCGUACUGACUCUAUAUAAGCUGCUAUAGAUAACUCGCUGUUUAUACAUAUAUGAAAUGUAAGCAUGCCAUUGCCCCCCGCCCACCAUCACCAUCACCAUCACCAUCACCAUCACCAUCACCCACCCCAUGGUUAGCAAAGACUGCCUUUUUGUUACUGCUAGUAGUAAAAUAUCAGUUGGUGGAGAAGGAGCUAUUUUGCCUUGUGGAAAAUAACUUAAGACUAUUUUCUCAAUUAUUUGUGUUUCUGUUCGAACCAUCUGUGUUCCUUGACUAUGUUAGGUUCCCCCAACCCACCCCCACUCACCCCAAUCAUCCCAACCAAUUACUGGGAUGACUAACAUAAUUAACAGGGUUGGAUACUUCUGCUCGGGCAUGCUUUUGGUGUAGCAGCUUAUGUCAAUAUUUGUAUACAGGUUAUCCAGUUUUGACUGCAGAAAAGAUCCAAGAUACAGCCAGUGUAUGUGAUGGCUGAGUAUGUAAGUGCUUGUGAUACUUGAUUCGACACUGAAGUGAACUGGCUUCUUCAGAGCAACCGUCGGGUGUGCAAUGUCUUUUAGUUUUAGAAUUUUAUUUAGUACUCGGCAAUUAUUCCCCUUUUCUUUAGAAGAUUAUUGUUUCCUUUUGAAUUCGUAAGGUGUGUAACAUAUAAAACUCGUUUAUUGCAUCUUUCUGUUGUGACUAA